AUAUUCGGAACAUCUUCUUCAGAAGAUGCGGAAUAACGUGACAUAUUGUAUUCAGUUUUGAAUGUUUAUUUAACAUUCAAAUAUUUUUUGGUUAAAGUGAUAUUCCUUUUGAAAAUAAAGCAGUAUGCGAGCGCUUGACUAAAAAGAAAUUGUACAUUGAAAACUAGAUAAGUAAGUAAAAUAUAGAUUUUACCAAGCAAAACCGAGUGAAUAAAGAGUUUUAAAUAAGCUUGAAUUCAUAAGAAAUAAUCGCUAGUGUUCGAAAGAACACUCACAAGAUUAAUAACGCGUUUAAAUCUUUUUAUAAAAGAACGUAACUUCAUGUUAACGUUUGACUUAUAAAAAUGGUGGAAACAUAGAUUAAGUUAUUAAGGGCGCACGGUGGAUGCCUUGGNCCCGCACAAGCGGUGGAGCAUGUGGUUUAAUUCGAAGCAACGCGAAGAACCUUACCAAAUCUUGACAUCCUUUGACAACUCUAGAGAUAGAGCCUUCCCCUUCGGGGGACAAAGUGACAGGUGGUGCAUGGUUGUCGUCAGCUCGUGUCGUGAGAUGUUGGGUUAAGUCCCGCAACGAGCGCAACCCUUAAGCUUAGUUGCCAUCAUUAAGUUGGGCACUCUAAGUUGACUGCCGGUGACAAACCGGAGGAAGGUGGGGAUGACGUCAAAUCAUCAUGCCCCUUAUGAUUUGGGCUACACACGUGCUACAAUGGACAAUACAAAGGGCAGCGAAACCGCGAGGUCAAGCAAAUCCCAUAAAGUUGUUCUCAGUUCGGAUUGUAGUCUGCAACUCGACUACAUGAAGCUGGAAUCGCUAGUAAUCGUAGAUCAGCAUGCUACGGUGAAUACGUUCCCGGGUCUUGUACACACCGCCCGUCACACCACGAGAGUUUGUAACACCCGAAGCCGGUGGAGUAACCUUUUAGGAGCUAGCCGUCGAAGGUGGGACAAAUGAUUGGGGUGAAGUCGUAACAAGGUAGCCGUAUCGGAAGGUGCGGCUG
rnacentral:rRNA from 1 species